rnacentral:rRNA from 1 species
AAAGCCUGAUGCAGCUAUGCCGCGUGUAUGAAGAAGGCCUUCGGGUUGUAAAGUACUUUCAACAAGAAAGAAAUAAUAAAAUUUAAUAAAUUUUAUUACUGACGUUACUUGUAAAAGAAGCACCGGCUAACUCCGUGCCAGCAGCCGCGGUAAUACGGAGGGUGCGAGCGUUAAUCGGAAUUACUGGGCGUAAAGAGCACGUAGGCGGUAUAUUAAGUCAGAUGUGAAAUCCCUGAGCUUAACUUAGGAAUUGCAUUUGAAACUAGUAUGCUUGAGUUUCAUAGAGGGGGGUAGAAUUCCAGGUGUAGCGGUGAAAUGCGUAGAUAUCUGGAGGAAUACCAGUGGCGAAGGCGGCCCCCUGGAUGAAUACUGACGCUGAGGUGCGAAAGCAUGGGUAGCAAACAGGAUUAGAUACCCUGGUAGUCCAUGCUGUAAACGAUGUCGACUUGGAGGUUGUAAGCUUGACUUGUAACUUUCGUAGCUAACGCGUUAAGUCGACCGCCUGGGGAGUACGACCGCAAGGUUAAAACUCAAAUGAAUUGACGGGGGCCCGCACAAGCGGUGGAGCAUGUGGUUUAAUUCGAUGCAACGCGAAAAACCUUACCUGGUCUUGACAUCCAUGGAAUUUAGUAGAGAUACUUUAGUGCCUUCGGGAACCAUGAGACAGGUGCUGCAUGGCUGUCGUCAGCUCGUGUUGUGAAAUGUUGGGUUAAGUCCCGCAACGAGCGCAACCCUUGUCCUUUGUUGCCAACGGUUCGGCCGGGAACUCAAAGGAAACUGCCGGUGAUAAACCGGAGGAAGGUGGGGACGACGUCAAGUCAUCAUGGCCCUUACGACCAGGGCUACACACGUGCUACAAUGGUAUAUACAAAGGGAAGCAUCCUCGCGAGAGUAAGCGGAUCUCACAAAAUAUAUCGUAGUUCGGAUUGGAGUCUGCAACUCGACUCCAUGAAGUCGGAAUCGCUAGUAAUCGUAGAUCAGAACGCUACGGUGAAUACGUUCCCGGGCCUUGUACACACCGCCCGUCACACCAUGGAAGUGAGUUGUAAAAGAAGUAAGUUGCUUAACCUUUAUGGAGGGCGCUUACCA